rnacentral:rRNA from 1 species
UAGGGAAUCUUCCACAAUGGGCGAAAGCCUGAUGGAGCAACGCCGCGUGUGUGAUGAAGGCUUUCGGGUCGUAAAGCACUGUCGUAUGGGAAGAACAGCUAGAAUAGGAAAUGAUUUUAGUUUGACGGUACCAUACCAGAAAGGGACGGCUAAAUACGUGCCCG